rnacentral:lncRNA from 1 species
GGAGAGGUCGCCGUCCUCCCGGGCGGGGCGCGCGGGGUCCGCCGCCCGGGGGCGCCCCCAGCGCGCGGACGGCGGGACCCUGCGGCCUCCUCCAGGUCUGGACGCAGGGAGGGGUGAGACUGUUCUGGCCAAAGAGACUGGAGAUCCAGUAUCAGCAAGCUACUUUCUUGCAUUUAGCAAUGAAUACUAUGGGAUUAUGGCUAAAAGAUGGUCAAGACUGCCUCAGCCAUUAGGAUCAGAAUUCUAAGUUCCAAAGAAGAGCAAACUCAAGAGGAUUUCCUCAGGCCUCUGACUAUAGAUGCUGCCUGGGGAGAACAGGUGCUACACUCAAAACAUUCUCAUUUUAUUUAUAUCCUCCCUGAACUAGUACCCAACUCCAUAACCCCAGACUCAAAUAACAGAAAUAAAAGCCAUCUCACUGAUUAUAAGCUCUCUAGUUAUUACAAAAAUAAAUAAGCAUCAAUCAACCAACAGGCAUCAGAAUGAGAAAAUCACUGAUUUGAGACAUUCAGGCUGCAGGAAAAGAACACUUUUUGUUAAUAUGUAACUAUAUCUUCAGUAGUACAGAAAAAUGAGAAGAACGAGAGUUCUUACCUGGAUUUGCGGCUCACUUAAAGUAGAGCACCUGAGAUGCUGGGAAAUCAUAAAGAUAAAUAACCAAUCUAACAAAUUCCUGCCAUGAGACCAAAGUGAUCCUUGACUACUCUAUUAGUAAGCGACUCUGAGCCAAGAGUACGAACCUGUAAGUGGAGUGGUGGUUGGCCCAUUAGAAAUCUCUGAAAGAUCUAAACAUGACAGUUACCUUCCUACUGGACUCAUACUUCUCAAUUCCCUCUCCUAAAAGAAUACUUUUGGGCUGGCCCCAGUGGCUCACACCUGUAAUCUCGGCACUUUGGGAAGCCAAGGUGGGAGGAUUGCUUGAGGACAAGAGUUUGAGACCAGCUCGGUGGAAACAUAGCACCAUCCAUGUCUCUACCAAAAAAAGAAAAAAAAAA